rnacentral:rRNA from 1 species
CCUACGGGUGGCAGCAGUGAGGAAUAUUGGUCAAUGGCCGGGAGUCUGAACCAGCCAAGUCGCGUGAGGGAAGACGGCCCUACGGGUUGUAAACCUCUUUUGUCAGGGAGCAAGGUGCAGGUCGGGUCCUGCUGUGCGAGUACCUGACGAACAAGCAUCGUCUCACUCCGUGCCAGCAGCCGCGGUAAUACGGAGUAUUCGCGCGUUAUCCGUAUUUAUGGGGUUUAAAGGGUGCGUAGGCGGGCAUUUAAGCCGGCGGUAAAAUUCCGGGGCUCAACCCCGGCCUGCGGUCGGAACUGGGGGCAUGGAGUGGGCGAGAAGUAGGCGGAAUGCGGGGUGUAGCGGUGAAAGGCAUAGAUAUCACGCAGAACCCCGAUUGCGAAGGCAGCAUACCGGAGCCCGACUGACGCUGAGGCACGAAAGUGCGGGUAUCGAACAGGAUUAGAUACCCUUGUAGUC